GAUGAAGAACGCAGCGAAACGCGAUAGGUAAUGUGAAUUGCAGAAUUCCGUGAAUCAUCGAAUCUUUGAACGCACAUUGCGCCUGCUGGUAUUCCGGCAGGCAUAUCUGUUUGAGCGUCAGCAAAACCUUCGGCAGAAUUCUUGUUGAUUCCUACCGGCUUUGGGUUGAGUAAUUCUCGGGCUUACAGGCUCGAAACUCACCUUAAACUUGCUGUGCGACCGCUGGCAACGUCUGGCAGGGCAUUAUGGAGUGGUGUUCAAAUCUUCCGUAACUGUCAUGACACCUCUUGCGCGGCGUUAAACCAUAAGCUGCUUUCAGGUGGCUGAAGUUUGACCUCAAAUCAGAUAAAGAUACCCGCUGAACUUAAGCAUAUCAAUAAGCGGAGGA
rnacentral:misc_RNA from 1 species